rnacentral:tRNA from 1 species
GGAGAGAUGACCGAGUGGCUGAAGGUGCACGCCUGGAGAGCGUGUGUCGGCUAACCGCCGACCCAGGGUUCGAAUCCCUGUCUCUCCG